CUAUACAUGCAAGUCGAGCGGACAGAUGGGAGCUUGCUCCCUGAUGUUAGCGGCGGACGGGUGAGUAACACGUGGGUAACCUGCCUGUAAGACUGGGAUAACUCCGGGAAACCGGGGCUAAUACCGGAUGGUUGUUUGAACCGCAUGGUUCAGACAUAAAAGGUGGCUUCGGCUACCACUUACAGAUGGACCCGCGGCGCAUUAGCUAGUUGGUGAGGUAACGGCUCACCAAGGCGACGAUGCGUAGCCGACCUGAGAGGGUGAUCGGCCACACUGGGACUGAGACACGGCCCAGACUCCUACGGGAGGCAGCAGUAGGGAAUCUUCCGCAAUGGACGAAAGUCUGACGGAGCAACGCCGCGUGAGUGAUGAAGGUUUUCGGAUCGUAAAGCUCUGUUGUUAGGGAAGAACAAGUGCCGUUCAAAUAGGGCGGCACCUUGACGGUACCUAACCAGAAAGCCACGGCUAACUACGUGCCAGCAGCCGCGGUAAUACGUAGGUGGCAAGCGUUGUCCGGAAUUAUUGGGCGUAAAGGGCUCGCAGGCGGUUUCUUAAGUCUGAUGUGAAAGCCCCCGGCUCAACCGGGGAGGGUCAUUGGAAACUGGGGAACUUGAGUGCAGAAGAGGAGAGUGGAAUUCCACGUGUAGCGGUGAAAUGCGUAGAGAUGUGGAGGAACACCAGUGGCGAAGGCGACUCUCUGGUCUGUAACUGACGCUGA
rnacentral:rRNA from 1 species